rnacentral:rRNA from 1 species
UGGGGAAUAUUGCACAAUGGGCGAAAGCCUGAUGCAGCAACGCCGCGUGAGUGAUGAAGGCCUUCGGGUUGUAAAGCUCUGUCUUUUGGGACGAUAAUGACGGUACCAAAGGAGGAAGCCACGGCUAACUACGUGCCAGCAGCCGCGGUAAUACGUAGGUGGCAAGCGUUGUCCGGAUUUACUGGGCGUAAAGGAUGCGUAGGCGGAUUUUUAAGUGAGAUGUGAAAUACCCGGGCUUAACUUGGGUGCUGCACUUCAAACUGGGAAUCUAGAGUGCGGGAGAGGAGAAUGGAAUUCCUAGUGUAGCGGUGAAAUGCGUAGAGAUUAGGAAGAACACCAGUGGCGAAGGCGAUUCUCUGGACCGUAACUGACGCUGAGGCAUGAAAAGCGUGGGUAGCAAACAGGAUUAGAUACCCUGGUAGUCCACGCCGUAAACGAUGAGUACUAGGUGUAGGAGGUAUCGACCCCUUCUGUGCCGCAGUUAACACAAUCAAGUACUCCGCCUGGGAAGUACGAUCGCAAGAUUAAAA